rnacentral:lncRNA from 1 species
ACACUAAGGGUGGUGAGGCACUGGCACAGGUUGCCCAGGGAAGUCAUGGAUGCCCCAUCCCUGGAAGUGCUCAAGGCCAGGCUGGAUGGGGCUUUGAGCAACCUGCUCUAGUGGGAGGUGUCCCUGCCCGUGGCAGGGGUGUCAGAACGCAGUGAUCUUUAAGGUCCCUUCCAGCCCACACUAUUCUUCAUUCCAUGACUGACGCAGGUUACCGAGCGAGUGCACAGGGGGUUCAGGCCUCACGCGGGGCUUCAGGAAUGAGAGUAUGUUGGGAACCCUUACAUUUUUAUUGAAACCCGAUUUAAUUUGUAACUCAAACAUCUUUUCACUUCUUGUGACAGAAAAGAAAAUGUUGCCUCAUGGUUUGCCAUGCAAAUUGUGUGAUUCCCUGCCAUGCUGCGUGGGCGGGUAGUUCAUGCAGUCCUGGCGGUGCAGAGGCGAUGGUCCCUGGCUGUGUCACCUGGGGAGGCAGGCGUGGGGGUGUCAGCUGUCACACUGCCUGAUGCAGGCUGCUACACUUUGAGGUGAAAUACCUAAAAAUAGUAGUAGGUACUUGAGGCUCUGCGGGGGUCAGCUGCUGAAGAGAAAUCAUGUAUAGAAUCAGCAGCUCCCUCUGCUUCUCUCCAUCUGACAGCAACUAGCUGGAAUAGAGGUUAAAGACCUUUCAAAGCUGAAGAUUCAGAGCACAGCUGCCUUUAUGCCCAGCCUGGCUUUCAGCUGCACGAAAGAAAUGCACAUGCUUCUCAACUACAAAGGUGAAAAACAGAUGUCAAAGUGAGCACCUUGCUAGUUUUCUCAGUGUUUUUAGGUGAAGAAUUUGUUGGCUUUACAUCCUCUGAUAAAUUCAUUGUCCAUCUGGAAGGUGCUAAAGCGAUCCCCCCAUGGUGAUUUACUUCUUUUGUAUUGAAGGAAAGAACUGAAGAAGCACAGGAAGAAAGAAACUAGAGAAGCACAGGAGGAGAACCCGUGAACACAAGUCUUUGUAUGAAGCUGUACUGACUUCCCUUCGUAUCUUCCAAAAGACCAGGCGGGAACAGAUGGCAACCCCUUCUGCUCUGCUUAUAGGCUCUUUUCUCUGUACUUAAGAGCCUGUAACUGUGUCCAACAGUGUAAGGAAGGGAGAAUAUGGUGGAAAAUCCUGAGCUUCCAACAUAAAAAGAAUUUAAAAUACAUGCUUAUACAGGACUCUGCAAUCUCUGGAUCUUGCAGAAGUGGCUCAGGCCUUUGCUGUAAAGGAAAACCAGUAGGAACCAAUGCUUCCAAAGUACUUUUCAGCAGUCCUAGGCCCUUCAGUUUUCAUUCCUUUCUUGUUGACAAGCGGAGCGGCCUGGGACAAGUGGAAACGUAGCUGCAGCGCCCGCAUGGAGCGAGAGCGUGUGGUUACUGUCACCACACAGGAGGGGUACGGCAACAGGGCAGCCCCAGAAUGAGCAGAAGGGAGGAAGGGCUUCUUCCUCACCAGCCUUUUUGGUCGGGCGUGUAGAAAACAGCAGUCCACAGACAGCAAAACCGCUUGUGGUAACCGAAAAAAGGAACUGUCUUUGUGGUUGGAAGCGGGUUUGAGGCUGUGAAGACAAAAGUUCUCUUUUUUUUUAAGGAAACCACGUUGUUUUUCCCAACAGAGACCUCAUCGAAGAGGACUGGAUUUGCAUUGCUAGUGAAUCGAUGGCAAAUAACAUAUUAUGUUGUUUUAAUGACAAGAGGUUCAUUCACUUCUACUCUCUGUGCACUGAACCUUUAAACAUUUAGGAAUCCCAGCCCGCUCUGGAGGUAACUGAAUCAUCUAUUAAGUUACGGCUCAUUUCAGAUCCAGUCACUGCAUUUCCUUUCUCACAGAGAUUUUAUAUUAUCUGUUUCAGGCGGGCGAUAGUCUGGAAAAAAGAGGAUCUUGCGUCUAUGGUGGUUGUUUUCUCUAUAUUGAAUUUAUAUCCUGUAGGUUUCAAUUACAGAAAGACGUAAAUUAGCAACAGAAGUUGACAAGUUUUAGUUUAAUCAGUUGGGAAAGCCUCUGCUGAUUCCAUAUGGACGUGGAAGUGUAGUGUCAGUAGGAAGAAUCCUCUGCUUUUGCGGGUCAGCUGUGCAGCAGUGUCCUCACCACCAGAGUGAGCAGGCUGGAGCCUGAGAACCAAUGCUGUGGGACAAUAAG